UGGAAUAGAUGAUUAUUAAAU
rnacentral:piRNA from 1 species